AAAAAACUUCUUAAACGUGCUAGGCUCCCAGACUUCGGGGUGUCCAAGUGCUGUGUGAAAGACUCGUGGUCCACAGAAUUCUUCCAGUCACACUAUAGCGUUAUCAACCCUCACGCUCUUGGGAAGGUGUUGGGGCUUGCCGACCCCUUUGCGGCAAGCCGGCCCCGAAAUCUAGUGGCGGUCUCGCUGCAGCUUCCAUUGCGUAGUAGUAAAACCCUCGCAACUGGUACGCGGCGCGGCCAAGCCGUUAAACCCCCAACUUCUGAAUGUGACCUCGGAUCAGGUUAGGAAUAGCCCGCAGAACUA
rnacentral:rRNA from 1 species